rnacentral:rRNA from 1 species
UCCGUAGGUGAACCUGCGGAGGGAUCAUUACCGAGUUUACAACUCCCAAACCCAAUGUGAACGUUACCAAACUGUUGCCUCGGCGGGAUCUCUGCCCCGGGCGCGUCGCAGCCCCGGACCAAGGCGCCCGCCGGAGGACCAACCAAAACUCUUAUUGUAUACCCCCUCGCGGGUUUUUUACUAUCUGAGCCAUCUCGGCGCCCCUCGUGGGCGUUUCGAAAAUGAAUCAAAACUUUCAACAACGGAUCUCUUGGUUCUGGCAUCGAUGAAGAACGCAGCGAAAUGCGAUAAGUAAUGUGAAUUGCAGAAUUCAGUGAAUCAUCGAAUCUUUGAACGCACAUUGCGCCCGCCAGUAUUCUGGCGGGCAUGCCUGUCCGAGCGUCAUUUCAACCCUCGAACCCCUCCGGGGGGUCGGCGUUGGGGAUCGGCCCUUUACGGGGCCGGCCCCGAAAUACAGUGGCGGUCUCGCCGCAGCCUCUCCUGCGCAGUAGUUUGCACACUCGCAUCGGGAGCGCGGCGCGUCCACAGCCGUUAAACACCCCAAACUUCUGAAAUGUUGACCUCGGAUCAGGUAGGAAUACCCGCUGAACUUAAGCAUAUCAAUAAGCGGAGGA